rnacentral:rRNA from 1 species
UACGAAGGGGGCUAGCGUUGUCCGGAAUUAUUGGGCGUAAAGAGCUCGUAGGCGGUCUGUCGCGUCGGAUGUGAAAACCCGGGGCUUAACCCCGGGCCUGCAUUCGAUACGGGCAGACUCGAGUGUGGUAGGGGAGACUGGAACUCCUGGUGUAGCGGUGAAAUGCGUAGAUAUCCGGAGGAACACCGGUGGCGAAGGCGGCUUCCUGGACCGACACUGACGCUGAGGCGCGAAAGCUAGGGGAGCAAACGGG